UACGUAGGUGGCAAGCGUUGUCCGGAAUUAUUGGGCGUAAAGCGCGCGCAGGCGGUCCUUUAAGUCUGAAUGUGAAAGCCCACGGCUCAACCGUGGAGGGUCAUUGGAAACUGGGGGACUUGAGUACAGAAGAGAAGAGUGGAAUUCCACGUGUAGCGGUGAAAUGCGUAGAGAUGUGGAGGAACACCAGUGGCGAAGGCGACUCUUUGGUCUGUAACUGACGCUUGAGGCGCGAAAGCGUGGGGAGCAAACAGG
rnacentral:rRNA from 1 species